rnacentral:rRNA from 1 species
GUGGGGAAUAUUGGACAAUGGGGGAAACCCUGAUCCAGCAAUGCCGCGUGAGUGAUGAAGGCCUUCGGGUUGUAAAGCUCUUUUAUCAGGGAAGAUGAUGACGGUACCUGAUGAAUAAGCUCCGGCUAACUUCGUGCCAGCAGCCGCGGUAAUACGAAGGGAGCUAGCGUUGUUCGGAAUUACUGGGCGUAAAGGGCGCGUAGGCGGCCUUGUAAGUUAGAUGUGAAAGCCCCGGGCUUAACCUGGGAACUGCAUUUAAGACUGCAAAGCUAGAGGACGAGAGAGGAAAGUGGAAUUAUGAGUGUAGAGGUGAAAUUCGUAGAUAUUCAUAAGAACACCAGUGGCGAAGGCGACUUUCUGGCUCGUAUCUGACGCUAAGGCGCGAAAGCGUGGGGAGCAAACAGGAUUAGAUACCCGAGUAGUCC